UACGUAGGGGGCCAGCGUUGUCCGGAAUUAUUGGGCGUAAAGAGCUCGUAGGCGGUCUGUUACGUCCGCUGUGAAAACCCGGGGCUUAACCCCUGGCUUGCAGUGGAUACGGACAGACUAGAGGUAGGUAGGGGAGAAUGGAAUUCCCGGUGUAGCGGUGAAAUGCGCAGAUAUCGGGAGGAACACCGGUGGCGAAGGCGGUUCUCUGGGCCUUACCUGACGCUGAGGAGCGAAAGCGUGGGGAGCGAACAGG
rnacentral:rRNA from 1 species